rnacentral:rRNA from 1 species
AGUGAACGCUGGCGGCAGGCCUAAUACAUGCAAGUCGAACGGCAGCACAGCAGAGCUUGCUCUGUGGGUGGCGAGUGGCGGACGGGUGAGGAAUACGUGGGAAUCUGCCCAGUCGUGGGGAUAACGUAGGGAAACUUACGCUAAUACCGCAUGCGCCUUCGGGGAAAGCCGGGGACCUUCGGGCCUGGCGCGAUUGGAUGAGCCCACGUCGGAUUAGCUAGUUGGCGGGGUAAAGGCCCACAAGGCGACGAUCCGUAGCUGGUCUGAGAGGAUGAUCAGCCACACUGGAACUGAGACACGGUCCAGACUCCUACGGGAGGCAGCAGUAGGGAAUAUUGGACAAUGGGCGCAAGCCUGAUCAGCCAUGCCGCGUGAGU